CCUACGGGCGGCAGCAGUGAGGAAUAUUGGUCAAUGGGCGGAAGCCUGAACCAGCCAAGUAGCGUGCAGGAUGACGGCCCUACGGGUUGUAAACUGCUUUUAUACGGGAAUAACGCGCCUUAAGUGGAGGGCUUUGCAUGUACCGUAUGAAUAAGGACCGGCUAAUUCCGGGCCAGCAGCCGCGGGAAUACAGAAGGUCCGGGCGUUAUCCGGAUUUAGUGGGUUUAAAGGGAGCGUAGGCCGCAUGUCAAGCGUGCUUUGAAAUGUCCGGGCUCAACCCGGGCCUUGCAGCGCGGACUGGCGUGCUUGAGUCCGCGGAAAGCAGGCGGAAUUCGUCGUGUAGCGGUGAAAUGCUUAGAUAUGACGAAGAACCCCGAUUGCGAAGGCAGCUUGCUGCAGCGGAACUGACGCUGAUGCUCGAAAGCGCGGGUAUCGAACAGGAUUAGAUACCCUAGUAGUC
rnacentral:rRNA from 1 species